rnacentral:rRNA from 1 species
GACGUAGGGCGCGAGCGUUGUCCGGAUUUAUUGGGCGUAAAGAGCUCGUAGGCGGUCUGUCGCGUCCGUUGUGAAAACUCGAGGCUCAACCUCGGGCUUGCAGUGGAUACGGGCAGACUAGAGUGCGGUAGGGGAGACUGGAAUUCCUGGUGUAGCGGUGAAAUGCGCAGAUAUCAGGAGGAACACCGGUGGCGAAGGCGGCUUGCUGGGCCUUACCUGACGCUGGAGGAGCGAAAGCGUGGGGAGCGAACAGG